rnacentral:rRNA from 1 species
UACGGAGGGGGGCUAGCGUUGUUCGGAAUUACUGGGCGUAAAGCGCGCGUAGGCGGCUUUGUAAGUUAGAGGUGAAAGCCCGGAGCUCAACUCCGGAACUGCCUUUAAGACUGCAUCGCUAGAACGAUGGAGAGGUAAGUGGAAUUCCGAGUGUAGAGGUGAAAUUCGUAGAUAUUCGGAAGAACACCAGUGGCGAAGGCGACUUACUGGACAUCUGUUGACGCUGAGGUGCGAAAGCGUGGGGAGCAAACAGG